AAUCACUCCCAGAUGAAUAUAUAAUUUUAGCGCACUUUUUUAUUCCCGCUAAUUUUUCCCGCUUUAAGUAUUUCAGUCGUUUUAAUUUGCUUACACCACAGCUUACCACAGAUUUCUACCCACCAUAACUUUUUGUUUUACACCACAACCCACCAUAUAAAUAUUUCUGCAGGCCCACAAAGUGUUUGACAAAUUGUCUCAAAGAAAGAACUUCAAGAGGAUAAUGGAAGUAGUUCAUCAUCGCUGCGGAGAAGAUGAUGUUAUUAGCAACAUGCAAGAUAAUGUGAUUGCUAAUAUUAUGGAUCGUUUGCCGUUGAAAGACGCGGUGGCGACUAGUAUUUUGUCACCGAGUUGGAGAUUUAAGUGGACUCUCCUCACCCAACUCAUACUUGAUGAUAACUUCUUUCGUAGUUUACUAAGACGAAAAGUUCACUUUAAUAAAACUAUUAUAAGUAAACUUCUCAUUCAUCUUAAACUUACAAAUUUUGACCUCACUGUAACCGAUGAUAUCAAAUUAGAGGAUGAGGAUAUUCAUCAUUGGGUUA